rnacentral:rRNA from 1 species
UACGAAGGGUGCAAGCGUUACUCGGAAUUACUGGGCGUAAAGCGUGCGUAGGUGGUUUGUUAAGUCUGAUGUGAAAGCCCUGGGCUCAACCUGGGAAUUGCAUUUGAGACUGCGUAGCUAGGGUGCGGAAGAGGGAAGCGGAAUUUCCGGUGUAGCGGUGAAAUGCGUAGAUAUCGGAAGGAACACCAGUGGCGAAAGCGGCUUCCUGGUCCAGCACCGACGUUCAGGCACGAAAGCGUGGGGAGCAAACAGG